GACGAACGCUGGCGGCGUGCUUAACACAUGCAAGUCGAACGGAAAGGCCCUGCUUUUGUGGGGUGCUCGAGUGGCGAACGGGUGAGUAACACGUGAGUAACCUGCCCUUGACUUUGGGAUAACUUCAGGAAACUGGGGCUAAUACCGGAUAGGAGCUCCUGCUGCAUGGUGGGGGUUGGAAAGUUUCGGCGGUUGGGGAUGGACUCGCGGCUUAUCAGCUUGUUGGUGGGGUAGUGGCUUACCAAGCUUUGACGGGUAGCCGGCCUGAGAGGGUGACCGGCCACAUUGGGACUGAGAUACGGCCCAGACUCCUACGGGAGGCAGCAGUGGGGAAUAUUGCACAAUGGGCGGAAGCCUGAUGCAGCAACGCCGCGUGCGGGACGACGGCCUUCGGGUUGUAAACCGCUUUCGCCUGUGACGAAGCGUGAGUGACGGUAAUGGGUAAAGAAGCACCGGCUAACUACGUG
rnacentral:rRNA from 1 species